rnacentral:rRNA from 1 species
GAUGAACGCUGGCGGCGUGCCUAAUACAUGCAAGUCGAGCGAACGGACGAGAAGCUUGCUUCUCUGAUGUUAGCGGCGGACGGGUGAGUAACACGUGGAUAACCAACCUAUAAGACUGGGAUAACUUCGGGAAACCGGAGCUAAUACCGGAUAAUAUUUUGAACCGCAUGGUUCAAAAGUGAAAGACGGUCUUGCUGUCACUUAUAGAUGGAUCCGCGCUGCAUUAGCUAGUUGGUAAGGUAACGGCUUACCAAGGCAACGAUGCAUAGCCGACCUGAGAGGGUGAUCGGCCACACUGGAACUGAGGCACGGUCCAGACUCCUACGGGAGGCAGCAGUAGGGAAUCUUCCGCAAUGGGCGAAAGCCUGACGGAGCAACGCCGCGUGAGUGAUGAAGGUCUUCGGAUCGUAAAACUCUGUUAUUAGGGAAGAACAUAUGUGUAAGUAACUGUGCACAUCUUGACGGUACCUAAUCAGAAAGCCACGGCUAACUACGUG